rnacentral:rRNA from 1 species
GAUGAACGCUGGCGGCGUGCCUAAUACAUGCAAGUCGAGCGAACGGACGAGAAGCUUGCUUCUCUGAUGUUAGCGGCGGACGGGUGAGUAACACGUGGAUAACCUACCUAUAAGACUGGGAUAACUUCGGGAAACCGGAGCUAAUACCGGAUAAUAUUUUGAACCGCAUGGUUCAAUAGUGAAAGACGGUUUUGCUGUCACUUAUAGAUGGAUCCGCGCUGCAUUAGCUAGUUGGUAAGGUAACGGCUUACCAAGGCAACGAUGCAUAGCCGACCUGAGAGGGUGAUCGGCCACACUGGAACUGAGACACGGUCCAGACUCCUACGGGAGGCAGCAGUAGGGAAUCUUCCGCAAUGGGCGAAAGCCUGACGGAGCAACGCCGCGUGAGUGAUGAAGGUCUUCGGAUCGUAAAACUCUGUUAUUAGGGAAGAACAAAUGUGUAAGUAACUGUGCACAUCUUGACGGUACCUAAUCAGAAAGCCACGGCUAACUACGUG